GGGAGCUUUGGGGCUGGUGUCUGCCCCAUCCGGCCCCGCAAUCCCACAGCUGCUCCCCGCUGUGUUCCCAGAGGAGGAGGAAGGGGGUUGACGGGGUGAGGUGUUGCGUUUUCUCCAUUUUGCUAUUAAUAGAGAUGAAAAACGCCCGUGACAAAGGGGAGUUUCGCAAAGGCCACGGCCGCAGAUUCCCGUUCCCAGCCCGGGAGCGGGUGUCUCAGCGGCACUGCUGACGCAACCCUCACCGUGCUGGGAAGAGUCCCCGCUGCUGCUGGGGGUUUCCGAGCUCAGCGCCGGUGCUAUAAGACAGGCACGGGCUGUGCCCAAGCCCAGGAGCUUGUGCAUGAGCCCAGGCGCUGAGGUUAUGCUGCGAGCUGCGGCCGGCGGCCCUUUUCCUCCGGUCUCCUACCCACACAAGCCAGCGUUGAUUCGUAAUUCUGCUCGUAUCAGCAAAGCCCAGGGACCCCAGACUCGGAAAGCAGGCACCAACCAAGGUCUUUUUGUCCGAUUGGUCUGCUUCCAUGGGUAGAACCCACAGCCCAGCUUGGAGAGCCGAGACAGAGACCUCGCUGCCACCACACGUCUCUCCCCGCGCACCGUUUCUCGUCACCCUGCAGGGAGAAUGGCAGCCUGGAAGGCGAGGAGGCUCGGUCGCUCAUCGUCUUUGGGAAGGAAACGGGGGGGAGGCAGGAAAGGAGGCCGGUGAGAGUUGGCAGCGAUGGUAUCUGCGUCCCAGCUGGGGUGGGACACUUACGGCGGGACGGAGAGGAGCUGCGCUCUUCCACGUCUCGCCUGGGUGUGUCAUGGUUGGGAGGAACCAAAUAACUCCCGUAAAAACGCUGUCCCGGGUAUUCUCUGCUUUGCACUACUGAAGGGACAGGAAGUUUGGUAUUUCUGUAAAAUGCUUUCUGUCUGUCUCAUCCAAAACAAUAAAAACAUGCAACACCGAAUCGA